rnacentral:rRNA from 1 species
AUUGAACGCUGGCGGCAGGCCUAACACAUGCAAGUCGAACGAGUGGCGGACGGGUGAGUAAUGUCUGGGAAACUGCCCGAUGGAGGGGGAUAACUACUGGAAACGGUAGCUAAUACCGCAUACCAUCGGAUGUGCCCAGAUGGGAUGAGCUAGUAGGUGGGGUAACGGCUCACCUAGGCGACGAGCCCUAGCUGGUCUGAGAGGAUGACCAGCAACACGGGAACUGGGACACGGUCCAGACUCCUACGGGAGGCAGCAGUGGGGAAUAUUGCACAAUGGGCGCAAGCCUGAAGGAAACAUGCCGCGUGUAUGAAGAAGGCCUUCGGGUUGUAAAGUAGUUUCAGCGGGGAGGCGUUACUCGCAGAAGAAGCACCGGCUAACUCCGUGCCAGCAGCCGCGGUAAUUC